CUUAGGCCGAAAUCAAACAUAAUAGAUGGAUUUAAAGUUAGGGCAUCAUAGUUAACACAAAAUAUUGGAAGGAAUUGUGAUCUAUGUGUAGGAGCUUGAAGAGCUAAGUACUUUUGGAGACUAACAAUAAGGCAUGGCGGCGAUUUAUGAGCCCAGUACGGAUAAUCCAUACAUUCCAGCAGAGACCGUAACUUAGUGUAAAGAGGAUGAUUAUAAACUUGGAAUCCUCUAAAUAGAAACCGGUCACAAAGAAAUUGUCGUCUGAGGUGCAGGGGGGCUUCAGAACAUUCGACCUGCAAAGCGUUAAUAGGGCUCGAACGCAUAGCCCCAGCAAUUAUUCUCAGAGCCUUAGACUGGAUAAUGUCUAACUUAUGGAGAGCUACUGCAUUACAGGGUUCAAAACCGAAAGGUUGACAUUAUCAUAGGCUGCAGACACAUCUAAGAAUGCUGCUAACACAGACUUAUUGUAUGAAAAUGCCAAUCUUAUGUCUGUCAUAAAAAUGCUGAGACUAUCCAUCGUACUCCUACCUUUCCUAAAUCCAAACUGGUUAGGAGAUAGUAACCCUUUACUCUCAAUAAACCAUUCUAGUCUAUUUUUAACUAGAUGUUCGCAAAUUUUGGAAAUCACUGAAGCUAAUGCAAUUGGUCUGUAUGAUGAUGGAUCAUUAAUGGGUUUGUUGGGCUUAUGUAUUGGGAUAACUUCAUGGAUUUUCCAUGAUGGAGGAAUAUUACCUGAUGUUAAGAUUGAAUUAAUUAAACUGAGAAAAUAAGAAAGGCAGGAGUCGUUCAGGUUUUGAAGAAAAGAAUAUGGAAUUCCAUCACAACCCGGGGCUGAGUCCCUAAGCCUUGAAAGAACCCCUUUGAGUUCUGAAAGGCUAAAGGAAAUGAAUGAAUCGCUACUAUCAUGCUGGGAGAGGAGAGAAGGCUGUGAGUCAGAAGAAAUAUUAUCUAUAGACGGGACAAAUGGUGGAGCUAAUUUGUCAAGAAACAAAUCAACUGUACUACUAUCCAUGAAAGGAGACCUUGGAGGUUUGAAAGCGGAUCUGAAUCUACGAAUAUUUUGCCAAACUUGAGAUGGAGAAAUUUCUGGUGAAAUUGAGGCACAAAAAGAUUUCCAGCUAUUGAAUCUUUUUUGUUUUAAUAAUUUACGAGUUUUAGUUAUAAGAUUACUAAGAAUAUUAAAAUUUUGUGUUGUAGAA